CUUCCUUGUUGGGUUCAGAGAGAGAGCGCGAGGUUGCCGCUCUGUAUUAACAAGCUACCCAUCUGAUCCUGCAAAGUGGGACCAAAUUGAUGACAGGAUGCGAAACAGCGCGCGGUCCAGAAAUCCUUAAAAUCAACACAACUGCAUUGGAAAAUAAAAGACAGCGCAUGCGCAGCUACCGUUGGAGCCCGCACAUUUUCACAUUCUCCUGCUACUAAACAGGCUCCAUUAUGAAAACAAAGCCCUGAAAAGGUUAACAAACGCAACGUAAAGGCUGCAGGAGCUCAGAGUGGAUGUCUGCGGCAUCGUUGGAGGCCUAGCCGCGUUCAGACAGUAGCGAGGUAGAGACAGAGAGAGGGAGGGCUUCAGGUGCUCCACAACAGCUGGCGAGAGAGAGAAUUUGAAUGAAAAUGUUACAAAAGAUUAUCUCUUGAGAGAUGAAGGGUCAACGCAGAACCGCUAGUUAUUUUAUGAUGGACUCUUGCGUUAGAGAGAUUCUGAGUACACACGGGUCAUCGAUAAACUGGAGUGGUGCUGAGUUGUGGAGACAGAGAAUAGCACAGCUUUGUUUCCCAGGGAACAUCUGAACACAGUGUGUGAAUCAAACAGUACAGUAAACAACACAAAACAGCACUCAAACACAAAUCAAACGUGGAACGUCCCCACUGGAGUCACAACGGCGAACGAACAAUUAAACGUGUAGCCUACAUCAUUUCUGUUUAGCGGGUAUGUCAUUUAUCAUUUAAAAUGUAAUAAGAAACUUUUCUACUUGCACCGCUGUAAUGUAAUAAUGUAUAUAUACACACAGACACUCGGUGUAGAUUCAUGUUGCAGCUCAACAACGC
ensembl:lncRNA